AUUGAACGCUGGCGGCAGGCCUAACACAUGCAAGUCGAGCGGAUGAAGGGAGCUUGCUCCUGGAUUCAGCGGCGGACGGGUGAGUAAUGCCUAGGAAUCUGCCUGGUAGUGGGGGAUAACGUCCGGAAACGGGCGCUAAUACCGCAUACGUCCUGAGGGAGAAAGUGGGGGAUCUUCGGACCUCACGCUCUCAGAUGAGCCUAGGGCGGAUUAGCUAGUUGGUGGGGUAAAGGCCUACCAAGGCGACGAUCCGUAACUGGUCUGAGAGGAUGAUCAGUCACACUGGAACUGAGACACGGUCCAGACUCCUACGGGAGGCAGCAGUGGGGAAUAUUGGACAAUGGGCGAAAGCCUGAUCCAGCCAUGCCGCGUGUGUGAAGAAGGUCUUCGGAUUGUAAAGCACUUUAAGUUGGGAGGAAGGGCAGUAAGUUAAUACCUUGCUGUUUUGACGUUACCAACAGAAUAAGCACCGGCUAACUUCGUG
rnacentral:rRNA from 1 species